CAGCAGCCGCGGUAAUACCAGCACCUCGAGUGGUCAGGAGGUUUAUUGGGCCUAAAGCAUCCGUAGCCGGUUGCAUAAGUUUUCGGUUAAAUCUAUGCGCUUAACGUAUAGGCCGCCGAAAAUACUGUGCAGCUAGGGAGUGGGAGAGGUACACGGUACUCGAUAGGAAGGGGUAAAAUCCUUUGAUCUAUUGAUGACCACCUGUGGCGAAGGCGGUGUACCAGAACACGUUCGACGGUGAGGGAUGAAAGCUGGGGGAGCAAACCGGAUUAGAUACCCGGGUAGUCCCUGUCUCUUAUAC
rnacentral:rRNA from 1 species